rnacentral:rRNA from 1 species
UACGGAGGAUGCAAGCGUUAUCCGGAUUGAUUGGGCGUAAAGCGUCUGUAGGUGGUUACGCUAGUCGGCUGUUAAAGAUCAGGGCUGAACCCUGAGCAAGCAGUCGAAACUGCGUGGCUGGAGUACGGUAGGAGCAGAGGGAAUUCCCGGUGUAGCGGUGAAAUGCGUAGAUAUCGGGAAGAACACCAAAGGCGAAAGCGCUCUGCUGGGCCGAAACUGACACUGAGAGACGAAAGCUAGGGGAGCGAAUGGG